CCACAACCCGCUUAAAUGUUUUAAAAAAAAAAUCACUAAAAAACUUUAAUUAUUUCUGGGCUUUUUUUUUGGGCUUUAGCCUUUAAGUCUUAUUCUCUAAUAUCAUAUGAAUAAAACCCUAGCAUAUCUCACGCCUCUCAUUCUCUCACUCAAACACUCAGUCUCUCUCUCACUCUCUCUCUCUCAGUCUAUCUCAUUCUCUCUAAACUGAAACCCUAAUCUCUCAAGCGGCGCCUCUCAUUGAUCUCCACUCACCACCGCGCCGAUCGUCGGUCUCCGGCUCAACGCAACGCUAGUCGAUCACUCACUCUGAUUCAACAUCCAAGUAUCAACAAUGGAAGGCUUCACCAGGAACUCAAGAUUUCAACAAAGUUUGAUUCAUAUUAAACUAGCUUAAUUUGAACAAUUUAUUAGCUUUGUAACUUAUUUGAAUUUUAGUUUUAUGUUGGAUUGGGUCACGUAUUAAACUUUUAUUUCUGAUUUGGUGAUGUAUUAAGCCUUAUGACUUGUGGCAGGAUAUUAAUUAAUGGCAAAUUUUGCCAAUUUACGA